GGACUUUGAGCUCAAUGCCAUGACUGAGGAAGACCACGGGGUUUUCUCUCUUAGAGGGGAGGAAUCCUUGAUAUUCUUCAUUCCAAUUGUUCACCUCUACUGUAGGGCUCAGUAAACACUUAAGGAAGUUGCCGUGCACUGCAGCCUGCCGGAGACAUGAAGGAAUGUACGGGAGGAUAAUCGCAACAUCAUCAACCCAAUUCUCCAAGUAAUUUGCCAUGGGACAGGCACACCCCAUGUGUUUGGGAAGACAAUGGGAAGGUUCUGUUUUCUGCUCCAAGACUGAUUCAACCAGUUGGAUCUGGAAGGGGAUAAAGGGCUGUGUGGCUGCUUGAUUUUCAUUGUCUAGUGGCAGCCAAAAUUGGAAAAGAGAGAAGUGCAGACUUUAAAGACAAGCAGCGACAGCUCAUCAGCAGUCUAACAACACGACAGAUGACAGGCCCAGAGGCACACCCAGGGCCGCCAGCCCAUCACCCUGUGCAGGAUGUCAAAGAGCAGCUGCAGCAAAGGAAGAAGAUCAUCCAGACUUAAAUGUUUGGGCCUUGCUAAGACCAUAGAGUCUUUGUGCUUUGGAAACAGUCCUCCAUACAAAGACCCCUUCCUAGAAAAGAGUGGAAAGAAACCAAGGUGGAAUGGAUACAACAGAAAGGAGACCAUGCUAAUAUUCUUGUGCAAUGCUUCCUGGGCAGAAAUUAUGUCAUAAAGGAUGUUCCAUUCUGCAAAGCUAUGUGUCUCUCUGUGGUUUGCCUCAGAGGAGGGGCCUUUCAUAGCUGUAGUGAGUAAGGGGGCCCUUGCUGAUGUUCAUCAGAUAUGCCAAGGCACAGGAAGAAAGCAUUGAGGUCACAGGGCAGCUCAGGUCCGCCUGUGGUAAUUGAAAACAGGUGACGAGAUUGGGUUGAUUUUAUUUUGGAAAAGUAAAUUAGUGCUGCACCACUCGGACAUGGCUAAUUCAUGAAGCCUCUGGUUUGUAUUAGACACCCAACAUGCCUUUCAGAAAGAAAUGACACAACAAUUAAUGUGUCAAAUAAUAAUGUGCCACUCGGAGAAAGAUAAUUGUACCCAUCGUCAGGUAGUUAUUAGGUCGAACGAAUGCUCAUCCUUUCAAAGGCAACAGCGUCUAUUCAUUCUGGCAUCCUACUGUAAGUACAGUAUUGUGUUCAUAAUCACACAGACUGAAGCCAGGAACACUGGGUUUUAUCUGAUUUUUCUCCAUUUGGAAUUGUACUCCGAUGAUUCCCUAAACAGCAAACUCAGUCAUGUGAAACACAAAUGAGUGUGAUGAAAGACAGAUUGUUAUACUGCAGGAGAGGCUUUCUGUGCUUUUCACAUAAUAUAGAGCAUGAGGACUGUUCCCAAGAAGGUUUAAGCAUAUGUAACAAAAACUACCAGACCUGAAUUUGCUCAUGUGUAAAUGAUAGUCUUUCCUUCUGGUGAUUUAAUGCAUGAGGACAUCAAUCAGUCACAUCAUGGCCUCAGAAGUCCUUGUUCAAUUUCUGAUGCCAUAACUUACUCGAUGUGGGAUUUGGACAAGUCAUUUAACUUCACUGCAAUUCUGUUUCCCUCAUUUGAAAAAUAGAAAUAGAAAAGCCUGCUGUAUAUUUAGGUCCACAUCUGUUGGGGAGGUCAAAGAAGAAAGAAUAUGAAAAGUUGUUUGUAAAUAUAAAGAACCAUGUAAAUAUAAGACAUUGUUUUAUUAAUGCUCCAGAUCAAUUAACUUUCAGUGAAUGAUAAAAUGUGACAUCUUUUCAACAGAGACAGUUUUACUUAAGAAAAACUAGGCAAUGGCUUCUGUCCUUACAAAUGAAAAACUUCAUAAUAAAUGGGGGCUCUCAAGACCACCUGGCCAAAACUGAACUAAAUACUCACUUCAUUCAACCAAGAAUGAGGAACUGAAAUACAUGAUUAUUAUAUAUGCAUAUGCUUCUGUUUCAUCUACUUGGGCAUGCUUGUGAUGAGAUAUGAAAAAUUAGCCAUCUUUAGAAGGAAAGAAAUAUUGUAUUUGGGGGUAUUUCUUCUGUACAGACAAUUGGCCUGGUUAUUGUCUAAAGGUAUUUAAAAUUAAUAAAAUGCAAUUUUAUGCUACAUAAAAUACUCAAAGCAACCAU
rnacentral:lncRNA from 1 species